ensembl:lncRNA
GUCCUUUGCUAGUCCCCGGCCCAAGCCAGUGUCAUAAGUCUGAGGAUCCUGGCUCCAACCCAGUCUCUCCCACCCGCCAGCCAAAUACCCUUGAGCUGGUGAGCCUUUAGCCUUUGCCUCUAGGAGCCUUACUCUCCUCAUCUGUAAAAUGGGAGAGUUGGGCUUCCUAGGUGGCGCUAGUGAUAAAGAAUCUGCCUGCCAAAGCAGGAGAUGCAAGAGAUGGAAGAGCUGCAGUCUCCCCAGCAGUUUGAUACUCAUGGAACUGAGGCUCAAAGGAGGGACUUCUGACGAUCUCAGAAUUCCACCUGGGCAGGUCGGAGAGUUCACAGCCCCUCGUCACUCGGAGGAAGGGAAUGCAGAGGAGCAAGGAUGCAGGUUCCUGAGACCAUACAGAGAGGCCUUCCCUGGGCGGUUUCCAGACCAAGAAGCCCACGCCCUUCCCCGGGAGCCAAGCCAAGAAGGUCCUGGGACUGAGGGCCCCAUAUGCCGCUCAUUUUCCAACCCCUCUGGGCAGGGCUGCCUCCGCUCCAUGCCUCAGAGAGAUCUUUGCAAUGAUGGAUAAGCCGUGGCCCCGACGGCCCUGGCCCUGGGGAGGAAAAAAAACAUCUUUUGCAGUUUCGUGUAAAGCCUCCCACUUUUCGCUUAAUAAGUGCUGAAAGAGGCACAAACAGAGGGACCCCGAGCUUGCCAUGACUAACAAGAUGACCACAUCAGGCAGAGCCGAGCUGGGGGAGAGGACCGCGCCGGCCGGCCGCCCGGCUUCCCGGCGCGGAGGUGUCCGAUUCCCGAUUCCCUCCCGGGACGCUCCGCCAACAGUGCUUUGAAGCCAUGCCUAGGAGCCCGGAGCAGGGAGGCACGGAGCGAAGUGGGGAAAGGGCUGGUCCUCCCUCCCGCCUCCCGCAGGAUGGGCACAGAUCGCCCAAGAUAAAGGAACCGCAGCCUCCUCCAACUUGUGCUGAGUCGCUCUUUUCAAAAGCCCUUUCAGAUGGUUUCACUUCUCCGCGCGCGCUUUGUUGAAAGAUGUAAAAAUUUCAAACCACCACAGAGUAAACAUUUCAAAACUCGCUCUUUGCAAAAAUCAGUCACAUUUUCCCAAAAAAAAAAAAAAAAAAAAAUCUUGAAUUCCAUCUCUCCACGCACCACCACUCCCCCCGUCUCCCCCGCCCCCUCAAUCCCUUUUUCUGCGCUCUUUGGAUUCGAGUGUUUUUCAUUAAUUUAGAAGCAGUCCAGGUAAAGCUGGUGUUUGCGAGCUGGUGUUUUACGGGCGGGAAGUAGCUUUGUUAUUUAGGAGAUGUUUUAGAUAAGUCAAUGUCUUGUCAAAAUCAAGCAGGUUUUCUUUAUUAGGGUGAAAUCGUAAUGAACUCAUCUGCUUCUAAUAUUUAUAAAGAGAAGAGAGGCCAUUAAUUCUACUGCUUGUGAAUAAAACCAUCUGUGAUUUCUUUCCAUUUGAUGGGUUUUGGUUUUAAUAUACAUUUUUCACAAAUAAGCGCAGAGAUUUUUUGGUGAAAAUGUCACAUUCAGGAUCUCAUAAAGAAAGAAUGCAAAGAGAGGAAAACGAAAUGUUUUGUUAGCUAAGUAAUUUCUCACCUUGCAGAGUGGGGAACAUUUGAGCCAACUUUAGCACAUUUGGGUGAUGGAAUCGCCCGUUCAACGCUAAUGCAAUCCAUGACAUGUUACAAGGCGAACCGCGUCCGUUUUGAAGUUUGUUUUCCUUCGGGAAUUACACAGUUCAUUUAACCUAAUCUGUCCUGACACUUGAAUUAUAAUAUCAUGAGCUUCUUCAGGGAAGUAAAACAGUAGUUGCCUGCUUAAAAGCAAAGCAGAAGUUAAUAAAGCGGGCAAAAUGUCAAGGAAAAGGAGCUAAUCGAAUCGCAGUGUCAUUCUCUAGAGAAAAUACAGUCAAGUUGUAUUUUUUUUCCAGUCGAAAUCUUGGACGCCUAAUGACACAUUUCUGUCCAGGAAGAAAUUUGAACUCCGAAACCAAACUUGAUUAAACCCCAAACUGCAAGACCUUGCCCACUGGGGACCGCUCGGGGACUUUGACUUCUGGGUGUCAGAGCUUAAUUAAAAUAUUCAUCCAGCUGCUCUCCCCUUGCCAAGAGGACCCAGAGGAAUUAAACCAAUAAGCCUAAUUCUAUUAGUUCACCUGCCUGUGUACACAGAGAUGCAGAAGACCAUUUACAGGUUCAGAAAAAAAGAAAAGGCACCAGAGCCACCCUGCAUGCUCAGCGUCAGUGAAGUGGCCCCCUAGACAGAGUUCCACGUACUAUUUGGGGGUCUCAGUUCCCGGCUCCAAACAUACAUGACAAGUUAAAAAUUCUCUUUCAAGAAAACAAAAAUGCCAAGUAAGACAUUGUAAGGAUUUGUGUGUUAUGAUUUAUGUAUCAUCUAUAAUAACAUCUAACAUUCACUGAAU